rnacentral:rRNA from 1 species
UACGGAGGGUGCAAGCGUUAUCCGGAUUUACUGGGUUUAAAGGGUGCGUAGGUGGGCAGGUAAGUCAGUGGUGAAAUCUCCGAGCUUAACUCGGAAACUGCCAUUGAUACUAUCUGUCUUGAAUAUCCUGGAGGUAAGCGGAAUAUGUCAUGUAGCGGUGAAAUGCUUAGAUAUGACAUAGAACACCAAUUGCGAAGGCAGCUUACUACGGGAUUAUUGACACUGAGGCACGAAGCGUGGGGAUCAAACAGG